UACGUAGGGUGCGAGCGUUAAUCGGAAUUACUGGGCGUAAAGCGUGCGCAGGCGGUUCGUUAAGUUCGUUGUGAAAGCCCCGGGCUCAACCUGGGAACUGCAAUGGAAACUGGCGGGCUUGAAUGCGGCAGAGGGGGGUGGAAUUCCUGGUGUAGCGGUGAAAUGCGUAGAGAUCAGGAGGAACACCCGUGGCGAAGGCGGCACUCUGGGUCGGCCCUGACGCUGAGGCGCGAAAGCGUGGGGAGCGAACGGG
rnacentral:rRNA from 1 species